GACGAACGCUGGCGGCGUGCCUAAUACAUGCAAGUCGAACGAACCGCGACUAGGUGCUUGCACUUGGUCAAGGUGAGUGGCGAACGGGUGAGUAACACGUGGGUAACCUACCUCAUAGUGGGGGAUAACAGUCGGAAACGACUGCUAAUACCGCAUAGGACAUAGGAUCACAUGAUUCUGUGAGGAAAGGUGGCGCAAGCUAUCGCUACGAGAUGGACCCGCGGUGCAUUAGCUAGUUGGUAGGGUAAAGGCCUACCAAGGCGAUGAUGCAUAGCCGACCUGAGAGGGUGAUCGGCCACAUUGGGACUGAGACACGGCCCAAACUCCUACGGGAGGCAGCAGUAGGGAAUCUUCCGCAAUGGACGCAAGUCUGACGGAGCAACGCCGCGUGAGUGAAGAAGGUCUUCGGAUCGUAAAGCUCUGUUGUUAGAGAAGAACAGCGCAUAGAGUAACUGUUAUGCGUGUGACGGUAGCUAACCAGAAAGCCACGGCUAACUACGUG
rnacentral:rRNA from 1 species